rnacentral:misc_RNA from 1 species
AACGCAUCUUGCGCUCCUUGGUAUUCCGAGGAGCAUGCCUGUUUGAGUGUCAUUUCAAGUUCUCAAACCACAUCAAUGAUUUCUUGUUGGUGUGGCUUGGAUGUGGGGGAUUAUUCAUUUUGCAGGCUUCUGUCAAAGGAGGUCAGCUCCCCUGAAAUAGAUUAGUAGUAUCUGAGCUACUUACAGGUGUGAUAAUUAUCUAUGCCUUUCAGUAUGCUGCAUAAACAGAUGGCACUGCUUCCAACAAGUGAAGGGUCUCGAGAAGGGAUUCCACAUUUGACAAAUUUGACCUCAAAUCAGGUAGGACUACCCGCUGAACUUAA